CCCUGGGUUAGUCGGGACCUAAGCUGAGGCCGAAAGGCGUAGGUGAUGGACAACAGGUUGAUAUUCCUGUACUACCGAUAACCGUUUGAGAGAAGGGAUGACACAGUAGGAUAAGCUAAGCACACUGUUGGUUAUGUGUGCCCAAGCAUUGAGGCAGUCAAAGUAGGCAAAUCCGCUUUGAUAAUGCUGGGAUGUGAUGGGGAGCGAAAUUUAGUAGCGAAGUAGCUGAUUUCACACUGUCAAGAAAAGUCUCUAUCGAGGUUAAAGGUACCCGUACCGCAAACCGACACAGGUGGGUGAGGAGAGUAUCCUAAGGCCAGCGAGAGAACUGUUGUUAAGGAACUCGGCAAAAUGACCCCGUAACUUAGGGAUAAGGGGUGCCACCAUCAGGUGGCCGCAGAGAAUAGGCCCAAGCGACUGUUUACCAAAAACAUAGGUUUCUGCUAAGUCGCAAGACGAUGUAUAGGAGCUGACGCCUGCCCGGUGCUGGAAGGUUAAGGGGAUCUGUUAGAGCAAUCGAAGCAGUGAACUUAAGCCCCAGUAAACGGCGGCCGUAACUAUAACGGUCCUAAGGUAGCGAAAUUCCUUGUCGGGUAAGUUCCGACCCGCACGAAAGGCGUAACGAUUUGGGCACUGUCUCAACAACAGACUCGGUGAAAUUGUAAUUCCGGUGAAGAUGCCGGAUACCUGCGACAGGACGGAAAGACCCCAUGGAGCUUUACUGUAGCUUGACAUUGGGUCUUGGUACUACAUGUACAGGAUAGGUGGGAGGCUUUGAAACCAGGACGCCAGUUUUGGCGGAGCCAUCCUUGGGAUACCACCCUUGUAGUACUGGGACUCUAACCAUAG
rnacentral:rRNA from 1 species